rnacentral:lncRNA from 1 species
CACACAUACACACACAUAUUAUAUAUAGCGUGAACAAAGUAAAAUAAAUUCGACCAACUAAAUUUAAUGCUACACGUCUAAAUCGGGGGUUACAUUUUCCAGAUUAUAUACCAUGCACAUCUUCAAAAAGUAAUUCUGCACGAAGAUAUUUACAUUUUUACAAAAAUAAUAUUCUGAAAUAAUGAAAAAACCAAAGAAAUAACAUGCGUGGUGUUAGUGACAAUAAUUUAAACAUGUGUAUAGAGAGAGUAAGUAACAAUAGUGGCGAACCAUUAAAAAGAUUUCACAAUAUCCACUAUAAUGGCGUAUCAUUCAAAAAGAUAUUCAGGAAAAUCAUUAUACUGACAUACCAUUUAAAAAUAUAUCUGGUAAAAUCAUCAUAAUGAUUUAUCGGUCAAAAUAGGAUAUUCCUGAAAGCCACUAUAAUGGUGUAACGUUCCUACAGAUGAAAAUUAUUAUAGUAAUAAUACUAGGAACUAUAGUUUCGUACUAUUCAAAAAAACAAAAGCCACUAUAGUGGUGUGCUAUUAAAAACAAAUGAAAACGAAUACAGUUUUGUGCCGUUAUAGAAGAUGGUAGCCACUAUAGUAGCAUACCGUUCAGAAAAAUAAAAUCCACGAAAGCCACUAUAUUGGCGUAUAGUUUAAAAAAAUAUCCACGGAAGUCAUUAUAUCGGUGUACCGUUUAUGAUAAUCAUUAUAGUGACGUACUAUUUAAACAAAAAACUUUAUACGCGAAAGCCAUUAUAGUGGCGUAUUGUUGAAAGCGAUACCCACAAAAGCCAUUAUAGUGGCAUACCGUUUAACCAUUUGUGACGUACCAUUAAAAAAAAUUGUAUACGCGAAAACUACUAUAGUGGCGUAUUGUUGAAAAAAAUACCCACAAAAGCCAUUAUAGUGGCGUACCGUUUAAAAAUGUACUUGGGUACUGUACCAUUAUAGUGGCGUAUUAUUGAAAGCGAUACCCACAAAAGCCAUUAUAGUGACAUACCGUUUAACCAUUUGUGACGUACUAUUAAAAAAAACUAUAUACGCGAAAGCUGCUAUAGUGGCGUAUUAUUGAAAAAAAUACCCACAAAAGCCAUUAUAAUGGCGUAUCGUUUAAAAAUGUACUUGGGAAAGCCAUUAUAGUGGCGUACCGUUUAAAAAUGUACUUGGGAAAGCCAUUAUAGUGGCCUACCGUUUAAAAAUGUACUUGGGAAAGCCAUUAUAGUGGCGUACCGUUUAAAAAUGUUCUUGGGAAAGCCAUUAUAGUGGCGUAUAGUAAGAAAAAAAUGAAAAAAAAAUAAAAAAAUUAUCGCGAAAAGUAGUAUAGCGGCGGCGUGUGUAGUGUGCUUAAGAAUUUAACGGAGAGGGUGAAUUCGUGACAUAUAACGCUUGACGAGAGAAAGUAAUGUGACGCGCCGCCGCAGCUCCGGUGUUGUUAGAAGAGCGGUGGUGGCGAUUCUUUGGUCUGUCGGUUCAGCUGUGAUCGCGACGCGCGUUAGUACAGAAGUUUGUAAGUGCGAGACUGGAUCCUUUCACUCGUUCCGAACGUAAAGUUGCACAAACGAAUAAAUAGUGUACGCGAGUGACUGCACUCCGCGCACGUGUGUUUCUUAUUUUUUUUUUUUAUUCCCCCUCACUCAGCCUCGUUGUUUCGAAUCGUAACAGUGUUACUCAAAGAAACGACAAAAUAAUAGUGUUCUAUUUAAGAUCUUAAAAGAGAAUCUAUCUCUCAAUCCACACGAACCUUGACCCUAAUUAACACUUACAAGCAGCACCCUAUCGUAGUCGCGUUUUUGUAUUCGCGGAUGCGCAAAUGCGCAAAUGCGCGAGUGCGCGAGCGCGCGCUCGCUCGCUUUAUUUUAGCGCGAUGCUCGAAUACAAAAAAAAAGGAGGAGUCACGCUUAAUCUUUAAAGUACCACCGGUAUAUAAGUGUGUACUCCUCCUACACCUCUCCCCCUCCCCCAUCCUUGGGUGGACGCGAUAAAUGAGAGACCUUUACUAUGCCAAGAGAUGAGUCUUCUCUGUCCACAAGCGAGGGAAGAGAAGGCGGAAGAGGAGGAGGACUAGCAUCAUCAUCAGCUUGGUUACCGAAAAUUUCCUCUGGGAAAAAUCGAUAUUGGGAA